CAGUAGCCGCGGUAAUACGAAGGGGGCUAGCGUUGUUCGGAAUCACUGGGCGUAAAGCGCACGUAGGCGGAUCUUUAAGUCAGGGGUGAAAUCCCGAGGCUCAACCUCGGAACUGCCUUUGAUACUGGGGAUCUCGAGUCCGGAAGAGGUAAGUGGAACUGCGAGUGUAGAGGUGAAAUUCGUAGAUAUUCGCAAGAACACCAGUGGCGAAGGCGGCUUACUGGCCCGGAACUGACGCUGAGGUGCGAAAGCGUGGGGAGCAAACAGGAUUAGAUACCCCUGUAGUCCCUGUCUCUUAUAC
rnacentral:rRNA from 1 species